AAGCUGUCUAUUUGGGUGACAUCAUCACUGGAGAGCAGGCUUCCCUGGCAGAAAAGACAAAGGAUAGACCAGUCCCAGUCUGACUUACCUCCAGAAGUGAUAGAAAAGUAGAGGGACAUUCAGCCCCAGCGUGAGCCACUCUUGCGCACACAGGAACAUAAUGCAGAAGAGGCUAUGGAUGGAGUAUUCUGGCAGCACCAGCUGAAGAGGGAGCAGAGACACAGCCCUGAGUUAGAGGAGGAAAACGCCACUCCUGCUCCUAUGGCAGCUGACUUCUGCCUGGACACUGCCUCUCACAGGCGGUUGACACAAAGGCCCUCCCUGCAGCAACAUAGAGCCACUGCCCCAACACAGAUCCAUUUCUGAUAUGCAUCAAGAGCCUACUAAGAGGGUCAAACACUGUGGCAGGCACUGGAGGUGCCAGGAUGAGUUCAAUGAGCCUGGUGACAAUGUUCCAGGCACCCCCAGGCUGAUGGGAGAGACCGACAGCUGAACACCGGACCAUGCCGCAGCCAGCACUCACACACUGGCUGAAGCUGUAGCUCUGGCUGGUCCCUUACAGGUGAGUACAGUUGGUCACAAAGGGUGUGGACAAAGAAGAAUCCAUGCAAAUUCAAACUCAGCUCAACUCUCCAAGCUUUGAGCACCCAAUGCUCUGGAUUAAAUAUGGCAGGAGGCCCAGCAAAGACCUUACAAUAGAUCGGGAGAGAUAAACCGAAAACCUAAGUGACUAUAUAAUCCAAGGCUGAAUAUAGGGAGAAGCAAAAUAGAAGGAUAAGCAUAGUAGGGUCAAAGAAGGAGGGAGGUAGAUCAGCCAACACUGGCCCUUGCUGGGA
rnacentral:antisense_RNA from 1 species